AUCUUUUGGGCAUUACCACACAAAAGAUGUAGGACCACAUAUGCAUUUUCCUUAUCAAACAAUUGUCUUGACAAGCCACUUUAAAGCCCACUUGGGCUUGCCAUCACCAUUGAUGGACCUACAUCAUUCAAAUUCUCGAUGCUCUUAAAGGUGGUAUCCACUUGAAGGUAAAAGGAUUCCAAUUUUUGUUAGAUUGUUUGUCUUUUCUAUCUGGAAACUAUUUUUCUUUUCUUUCUUUUUUAUAUCACGUUUACUCUCCUAGAAUGUAAAAUUCUCUGUUCUCUGUUCAGAUAUCAGCUUUCCAACUGGAAUUAAUACAUCUAGUAUUCAAUUCAAUCCUCAUCCUUUUCUGGCCUCCUAAAUUCUGAACUUUGUCUAGGUUUUCCAGUUUUAAGAAAAAUUACAUCAUGAGGACCCAACAUGAUGGGAUUAGAUUCAAUGUUAAAGACAAAAUUUUCAAAUAAUCUGCAAAACCCCUCAACAUUUGUGGCUAUAGUUCAAGACCAAUGUGGGAAUUUACAAUCUAAUAAUGCUGAUGAAUGCUUCAUUGACAGCUCUACCAGACUAGACUUCGACGGAAUGCAUGAUGACAAAUUUACAUGGAGAAGUGAGGACCCUUGGCUAGUUUCACCCCCAUGACCAUGGCCCAGCAGCCCAGCAGCUCAUCCAAUGUAAUCAUGGAAAACGCUUUUCACAAUGGUGGCCAUUGUGUUGAGAGUGCUCUGUCAAUUUGUUGCAUAGUUGGCCGAGAUUGGGGAUUAACAUGCAAGCAUGCAAAUGCUAAUUUGACUGCAAGUGCUACUUCCUUAGCCACUUAAUUCACAGGAGGUGGGAGCCGCUGGUCCAUCGCAUCAUUCAACAGGCAAUGGUCCACAGUUGAUGGUGAUGAGGAUGAUGAGGACGC
rnacentral:lncRNA from 1 species